UUGUGAGCCGGCCUCUGAAAGGGGCUGGAAUAGGGUCUGGGCUGGAAAAGGAGGAUCUGUUUUCAUGACAUAAGGAAAACAGGGCACAAGUGCUGCGCUGUGCAUGGUGCAAUGGGUCUCGGUCUAGAGGAGCAGAUGUUCUCCUCACAUUUAGUAGCUGGGAUGAGACCUUCUUCACCGGGUGCUGCCUUUGUUUUAUGAGCUACGUUGGAGUUCUCAUACAACGAGAUGGGUUUUGUUCUUUUUUUAGGAGUGCUUACAGCCACUAUGUUUAUGAGCUACCAUUGUUAUCCUAUGGAGAAAGUUGUAUCUGCACUCAACGGCUUUCUUUGUUAAAAGUGCACACCCAUGUAAUCUCUUACUAAGCAUAAGGGAGGGACUGGACUGUCUAACCUCUAUUACCUGGCUUACCUCCCAGCCAAUGACUGAGCACCUGAGGGUGACUGAGCUGUGGAUGAAGCCAAUGGUUGAACAGUCUACCAACAUCCACGUGAAGAUAAGGUGACUCCAGUCAAGGUGUAGAAACAACUCCAAGACAUCAAGAGAAAAGGAAGGUCAGCAGCUAAAUUACAAGUGUCAUAACAACGAGUGUGAAUACUUAUGUCCAUGUGAAA